AUACGGAGGGUGCAAGCGUUAUCCGGAAUCAUUGGGUUUAAAGGGUCCGUAGGCGGACUAUUAAGUCAGAGGUGAAAUCCCACAGCUCAACUGUGGAACUGCCUUUGAUACUGGUAGUCUUGAGUUAUAUGGAAGUAGAUAGAAUGUGUAGUGUAGCGGUGAAAUGCAUAGAUAUUACACAGAAUACCGAUUGCGAAGGCAGUCUACUAAGUAUAUACUGACGCUAAGGGACGAAAGCGUGGGGAGCGAACAGGAUUAGAUACCCUUGUAGUCC
rnacentral:rRNA from 1 species